GACGAACGCUGGCGGCGUGCCUAAUACAUGCAAGUCGAACGCAUUUUCUUUCACCGUAGCUUGCUACACCGAAAGAAAAUGAGUGGCGAACGGGUGAGUAACACGUGGGUAACCUGCCCAUCAGCGGGGGAUAACACUUGGAAACAGGUGCUAAUACCGCAUAAUUCCAUUUACUGCAUGGUAGAUGGAUGAAAGGCGCUUUUGCGUCACUGAUGGAUGGACCCGCGGUGCAUUAGCUAGUUGGUGGGGUAACGGCCUACCAAGGCUGCGAUGCAUAGCCGGCCUGAGAGGGUGAUCGGCCACACUGGGACUGAGACACGGCCCAGACUCCUACGGGAGGCAGCAGUAGGGAAUCUUCGGCAAUGGACGCAAGUCUGACCGAGCAACGCCGCGUGAGUGAAGAAGGUUUUCGGAUCGUAAAACUCUGUUGUUAGAAAAGAACAAGGAUGAGAGUGGAAAGUUCAUCCCUUGACGGUAUCUAACCAGAAAGCCACGGCUAACUACGUG
rnacentral:rRNA from 1 species